GAGCUCGUAUCCUACGCAGAGAAGUAGCUCUUCGUUGUUACUUUCUCAGUGACCCAGCUUCCCUAACGCUUCAGACGUGGUUAUUUUCUUCUACGAGGGAAAGGGUUGUGCUCGAUAGAGGAGGAACGUGUUGAUUCACGCCAUCCAUCGGGUUAGAUCAAGUCUUUCUUGCACGUUUUACAAUCUAUCCACGCACAGUAUGCUAUCUGAAAAUAUGAAAAAGUGAAUGCAUAAGCGGAUUAGGAAAUAUGAUUGCUGCAAACCAGUGAUGGAACUCGAUUGUGCAAGUAGAUGAUGCUCAACUGCUAAGGUGAAGUACGAGAUUUCACGCUCUUAUGAGAAAGUUGAUGAGACGCUAAAGCUUAUUCUUAAAGAGGAAGUAGUUGGAUUUCUCUUUGGAGAUC